CAGUCGCCACGGUAAUACGGAGGGGGCUAGCGUUGUUCGGAAUUACUGGGCGUAAAGCGCACGUAGGCGGCUUGGUAAGUUAGAGGUGAAAGCCCGGAGCUCAACUCCGGAAUUGCCUUUAAGACUGCCGAGCUAGUAGGUGAGAGAGGUAAGUGGAAUUCCGAGUGUAGAGGUGAAAUUCGUAGAUAUUCGGGAGAACACCAGUGGCGAAGGCGGCUUACUGGCUCAUUCUAGACGCUGAGGUGCGAAAGCGUGGGGAGCAAACAGGAUUAGAUACCCCUGUAGUCCCUGUCUCUUAUAA
rnacentral:rRNA from 1 species